GACGAACGCUGGCGGCGUGCCUAAUACAUGCAAGUCGAACGCACAGUUUAUACCGUAGCUUGCUACACCAUAGACUGUGAGUUGCGAACGGGUGAGUAACGCGUAGGUAACCUGCCUGGUAGCGGGGGAUAACUAUUGGAAACGAUAGCUAAUACCGCAUAAUAUUAAUUAUUGCAUGAUAAUUAAUUGAAAGGUGCAAUUGCACCACUACCAGAUGGACCUGCGUUGUAUUAGCUAGUAGGUGAGGUAACGGCUCACCUAGGCGACGAUACAUAGCCGACCUGAGAGGGUGAGCGGCCACACUGGGACUGAGACACGGCCCAGACUCCUACGGGAGGCGGCAGUAGGGAAUCUUCGGCAAUGGACGAAAGGCUGACCGAGCAACGCCGCGUGAGUGAAGAAGGGUGUCGGAUCGUAAAGCUCUGUUGUAAGAGAAGAACGGGUGUGAGAGUGGAAAGUUCACACUGUGACGGUAUCUUACCAGAAAGGGACGGCUAACUACGUG
rnacentral:rRNA from 1 species